CCUCCAACCACAUCCCCACAACAGCCACGGGACAAACCUAAUGAAUACUGUGAAACCUCAGCCGACACCUCCUACGUUUCUUCUCUGCAUAUCUUGAAGAAACCCUAACACACAUCUCAAGUUCAGCCACACAUCAAGUCUCUAUCUCUCUCCCUCUGGCAACUCCGACCACCGGAGUGAGCUCCGGCGACAAGCACAUACCCAGCUCCGGUUCUCUUCUCCAGCCGCAUACCCACCUCCAAUCUCUGGUCUCUCCUUAAAAUCAACACGACAGAUAGAGAGAGAGAGAGAGAGAGAGAGCCUGAAACAGAGACUAAGAAAGAGAGAAAGUGAGAAAGCAGAGAAAAAGAGAGGGAGAUGUGGAAGAAAGAUCGACUGUUCACGAAACGGCAGCUCUCCGGCGAACGGCCGGUGUCCGGCGAGGGUGAGAGCGGUGAUGAAGUGGUGGCUCGAAGUCGAAAUAGAGACGGAGAGGGUCAAGACGGUGGGCGCGUUCUUCCAAAAACCCACCCAAAACCUAGAGAGAGAAGGAUCAGGGGAGUGUCCGGUCGGCCAGUCGUUCCUCCAAUGGCGCGUGCACCAUCACGCCACACAGAUCAGAAGUCCGAUUUCGAAGACAUGGUGACAGUUUGGAGGGUUGCGAAACAGGUACUUAUAUUACCCACCAAGUGUUUGAUUAAAUGUCUAUGGCACCGUCGCCAUGACCUGCACUGCCAGUAUCGGAGCCUUAAUCGACCGGAGACACCAUCAAAAGUACUUCGUAAUUUGACUUUUAAGAGAAGGAACCGAGGUAAAAACAAGUCAAGUUCGUUCGUGCUCCAACUGUCGCAGGUGUUGCCCUAAGAAGGAUUGGGUGUAGAAUUGUACCGUUUGGGUGUAGAUGGUGGGUUGGUAUGAGGGAUUCCUUGAUGAAAUUAGGUGCUCUGGUGUUUUGAUAUGACGACAUGCAGCAAAAUGACUAAGAUGGCGGCUCGAGAGUUUUCCGGUGGUCUCCGUCUGUUUCCAGCAAAGAUUGUCAGAACCCGAAUCUUAGUUUUUUUUUUUCGGUGAACUAGACUAUUUUUAAGAUCAAUCUAUGGUUGCAUGUCAUUAUUUGACUUAGAUGUUGCUACGCCACCCGUAGUCCCGUAACCCCAGUAGUGGAAGUAACGCUGGUCACGUUAAUUGGAGGCUUAUUGAAGAUUUUGUUGAUAAAUGAGCAGGUACAAUCCGCAAAAUGUGUCUAGAAAAACGGAGUGAUCACCGGUUAUGCAUUGACAAAGCGAAGUGAAGACUAUUCUCUGUGGUCUGCACCACACUUAAUUCCAGUGUUCUUCAUUUUUAGGCGGUGGAUUUGGGAUUUAUAUAAUGCAAAGGGAAAUGAUGCAUACAAGAAAAGAUAGUGGAAUAAAGAUGUAACAUGUUAUACUGAAGCUAACAAGUUGGAUGAAUCAAUGCUCCUUUCUACUUCAACGGAGUAGCUACCUACGUAGAAUUAGGAUGGGAGACUAAAGCUGGUAAGUUUCAUUGCCAUCAAGAAGCGCCAAGGAAGAUUUGAAGACACUGGUGGCGAGACGACAUCGAUGGAAGAGAUGGUCAGGGUGGGCCAUAGCAAUAGCAUAGUAAUAACCGACUGAACCCAUAUGAGAUGCUAAGAAUAGGUGCCAGAGCAGUUCAAGGGGAGGGCAGCUUAUUAUUUAGAAGAAGAGGGCUUCACUUAUGACGGUGCUCACACCAUCGACAAAUCCAACAUAUGUUACUACAUUCUUUCACUUCUAAUAUAUGGUAACAAUAAUCAAGAUUAAGCCUGGCUAAACAGGUUCGGUCAAAUAACAUGUCAAAACGGGUCGUUUUACCUUUUAAGAAGUAUUUGUUUGCUUCCGAGUCAAAAUCUUUUCUACCUAAAUUGAGCUUGGGUUGAAACAAGUCGAUUUAGGGAAAAGACAAUCAAAAUGGGUUUGUUUGUAUGACGGACUGACGGUGCUGACACCAUCUACGAAGCUGUAAGUUACACAAAUCAAUUUGCUUGACAAACAAAAUUACCUGGAACAGUUUUUAUUUUUGGAAAAAUGAGUCUGUGAUUGUCAAGAGUAAUAAAGAUUAAUCUUUGGUUUAUAUAUAUAUAUGUAUGUUUGUUCUCAUUGUGUGGUUCUACUUUAAUGUGUAAAAUCGCAGAAGGUUGAAGUUGAGGCAAGAACUAGUAAAGCUCAAGAGGGAAACCACAAGAUAUGGUCUAAAUAUCAAGAAUUAGGUGUAGUUUAUAUGAAUUUGAUAAUUUCUUCAAAAUAUUGUAUUGGGCUUAGAUGAAUUUUUUUCUUAAGACCAAAUACCCACCAGCCACGGUCCACGUGUAAAAUAGUGUAAUCAUUUAACUAUGUACAUACGAACCUCAGUUUAACCUGUUCCUCCUGCGCCCUGUUCAUCCCGCGCAACGCAAAAAAUGUUUGCAGCCGUAGCUUAUGAAAUCUAACAUGUAAUGUCGCGCAACGCGCGACAACGAAUUCCCCUAGUUUAA